GUAGGUGAACCUGCGGAAGGAUCAUUAAGAUAAAAUUCGGUAAAACAAAAAGGCAAGGACCAGCCCCACAAAGAAGCGGCGUGAGGGGGGGAACCGCGGGUAGACAGACGAGUUUUUCUCUCUUCUUCCUGGCUUCAAAAGGUGUCCCCGGGAGAAGGAUGCCCUCUUUCGGGGGGGAUUUAACUUCUAUGCCCCCUUUUCGGGGGAUUACUCUCUUACAAAUAUCUCUUGCAGCCGCCGGCGUGUGAUC
rnacentral:misc_RNA from 1 species